CGCUUGGCGGCGUGCCUUAAGCAUGCAAGUCGAACGGCUUCCGCAAGGAAGCAGUGGCGGACGGUCGAGUAACGCGUGGGGAUCUACCUUGAAGUUGGACAUAGCUCGUCGAAAGACGGGGUAAUUUCCAAUGUGAACGUAAGUUCAAAGCCGCAAGGCGCUUUAAGAUGAACCCGCGUCCUAUCAGCUAGUUGGUGAGGUAAUGGCUCACCAAGGCAUCGACGGGUAGCUGGUUUGAGAGGAUGAUCAGCCGGAAUAGCACUGAGACACGGGCUAUACAUCUACGGAUGGCAGCAACUGGGAAUCUUGCGCAAUGGACGAAAGUCUGACGCAGCGACGCCGCGUGGAGGAUUGAAGGCCCUCGGGUUGUAAACUCCUUUUGAAUGGGAAGAUUAUGACUGUACCAUUAGAAUAAGCACCUGCUAACUACGUGCCAGAAGCCUCGGUAAUACGUAG
rnacentral:rRNA from 1 species